UUAAUGUCUUUAUAGACAGCUAAAUCUACAUAAAUGCAUAAGUUAAUUGUAACAUUUCCUUUUCCUCCUCCUCCUUUCCUGCUGGACUUCUCUGUCUCUGUUCCUUGAUUCAAGUCAGAUACCCCUUGCUGCCACUCCCCAACAAAAUUAAAACAUACUAAAAAAGAACAGCCUUUAAGAGCUGGAAGAUGAAAGCUCCGAUUCCUCACUUGAUUCUCUUAUAUGCUACUUUUACUCAGAGUUUGAAGGUAGUGACCAAAAGAGGUUCUGUUUUUAUAAGCAGCACUUGAAGAAAGAGGCAAAAACUAUCAGUAUUACCCAAUCUUUUCAAGUGUGUGAAGCGUUGUUAGCAAUUCAGUAAGUAAACAUUUGAGUAGCUGUCAUUUGUGGAAUUGUGUACAGAAACCACAUG
rnacentral:lncRNA from 1 species